UCUCGCCACAUCCGCUGAACUUGACGCAGGUGUGUAGUUCGGUUGUUAUUGUCGCAGUUUGCACGUGUUAUUUUCGUCUUUUUGGGGUUUGACAUCCAUGGAUGAAGAGACCAAAAAUACCGUCGUCAACGGCCCCGCGGAGCCGGAGGAGUCUGGCACGGCCGUUAGAGACGAGCUGCUAGCGGCUUUUAAAAUCUCUUUGGACAUCUCACAGGAUUCUGAAUCGCCAGAAUCUGCAUCCUCAGAGAAGACACAGAGCUGGGAGAAGCCGGAGCAGAGAGACGGACCACAGGACGGAGAGAGAGAGGGAGAGGGAGAGAGAGAUGGACAAGUAACCAGACAACAAGAAGGACAGAAGAAUGGAGAGAGAGCUGGACAACAGGACGGAGAGAGAGACGGAGAGACGGUCCCUCCACCCUCAGCUGAGUGGGCGGUGGGUGCUCAGUGUCGGGCGGUGUGGUCGGAGGACGGGCGGCUGUAUCCGGCGACGGUGCUGUGUCUGGACGGAGAACGCUGCAGAGUCCGUUUCAACGGCUACGGAAACCAGCAGGACAUGGACCUGAGCGCGCUCAAACGCCCUGACGCUGCGCCUCCAACACAUAGACAAAACUCUCAGGACUGGAAACCCGGCGCUCGCUGUCGGGCCGUGUACGUGGAGGACGGUCUGGUUUACCCGGCUGUGGUUCUGUGGGUCAAAGGUCAGCGCUGCGGCGUUCGCUUCAACGACUACAACAACGAGGAGGAAGUGGACGUCGACAGCCUGAUGAACCCCGACGAGCUCCGCGGACCCAGCAGAGCCAAGGUGAAAGACAAAGCCAGUAAUCGGAGGAAAGUGGAGAAAGAAGACGAGAAGAAGAGAGGAAACCAGCAGAGAGACGAAGCAGAGAAACCGGCCAAUCACAGCUUCUCUUUCUUCCCUCCGUUUCCUCCUCCUCCAUCUCCUCGAUUGGCCUCUGGGGAUGCUGUGGCCUUCAUCCCUCCUCCUCCUCCUCCUCCUCUGUGGGUGUUUGGUGGGAAAGAGUCGAGCUCUGCGGCCGUGGACGCCUCCUCCAGCAUGUUGAUGCUGUGGUACAUGUGUGGCUUCCACACCGGCAGCUACAUGGCUCAGCAGGGCUUCCAGUCCAGCUCCAAAGACUGAGGUAAGACCUGAACCCACCUGUCAGGAUACCUCCCCCCCCCUGCUCACAAUGGAACUGUCUUAGUGAACAAGAAACCUCCGUCGUCUUCUAUGUUUUAUUUUUGUUGCUUCACAGACCGAGAGAAUAAUGGGACGAGAUGCAGCCGGGAAGAUUCUCCUUUUGUUUCCUUCCAAAGAGCACUUGGACAUUUAAUUUGUAUAUUUUCAGACAUGAUGUUAUGAGUUGUAAGUUGAAUCUUUUCCUGCUGGAGUCUGUCGAUGGUAAAGCACGUAGAGAGCGUUUUGUUUUCAGACACACAGAGAGACGUUUGAAUCUUUCUGUUUGAAUCUUUCUGUUUGAAUCUUUCUGUUUGAAUCUUUCUGUUUGAAUCUUUCUGUUUGAAUCUUUCUGUUUGAAUCUUUCUGUUUGAAUCUUUCUGUUUGAAUCUGUUGUUCCUUUGGUCAGUCGGUGAAUCGCUGACGAGUUAGACAAUGAAAUGAAAAAGUAUUUUUGUUAUUAAAAACAAAGGUGAAUAUCUGCA